rnacentral:rRNA from 1 species
UACGUAGGCAGCGAGCGUUGUUCGGAGUUACUGGGCGUAAAGGGUGUGUAGGCGGUUGCUUAAGUUUGGUGUGAAAUCUCCCGGCUCAACUGGGAGGGUGCGCCGAAUACUGAAUGACUAGAGUACGGGAGAGGAAAGUGGAAUUCCUGGUGUAGCGGUGAAAUGCGUAGAUAUCAGGAGGAACACCGGUGGUGUAGACGGCUUUCUGGACCGUAACUGACGCUGAGACACGAAAGCGUGGGUAGCAAACAGG